GGAUCCAGACUUUGAUCCUGGCUCAGGAUGAACGCUAGCUACAGGCUUAACACAUGCAAGUCGAGGGGAAACGACAUCGAAAGCUUGCUUUUGAUGGGCGUCGACCGGCGCACGGGUGAGUAACGCGUAUCCAACCUGCCCACCACUUGGGGAUAACCUUGCGAAAGUAAGACUAAUACCCAAUGAUAUCUCUAGAAGACAUCUGAAAGAGAUUAAAGAUUUAUCGGUGAUGGAUGGGGAUGCGUCUGAUUAGCUUGUUGGCGGGGUAACGGCCCACCAAGGUAACGAUCAGUAGGGGUUCUGAGAGGAAGGUCCCCCACAUUGGAACUGAGACACGGUCCAAACUCCUACGGGAGGCAGCAGUGAGGAAUAUUGGUCAAUGGGCGAGAGCCUGAACCAGCCAAGUAGCGUGCAGGAUGACGGCCCUAUGGGUUGUAAACUGCUUUUAUAAGGGAAUAAAGUGAGUCUCGUGAGACUUUUUGCAUGUACCUUAUGAAUAAGGACCGGCUAAUUCCGUGCCAGCAGCCGCGGUAAUACGGAAGGUCCGGGCGUUAUCCGGAUUUAUUGGGUUUAAAGGGAGCGUAGGCCGGAGAUUAAGCGUGUUGUGAAAUGUAGACGCUCAACGUCUGCACUGCAGCGCGAACUGGUUUCCUUGAGUACGCACAAAGUGGGCGGAAUUCGUGGUGUAGCGGUGAAAUGCUUAGAUAUCACGAAGAACUCCGAUUGCGAAGGCAGCUCACUGGAGCGCAACUGACGCUGAAGCUCGAAAGUGCGGGUAUCGAACAGGAUUAGAUACCCUGGUAGUCCGCACGGUAAACGAUGGAUGCCCGCUGUUGGUCUGAAUAGGUCAGCGGCCAAGCGAAAGCAUUAAGCAUCCCACCUGGGGAGUACGCCGGCAACGGUGCAACUCAAAGGAAUUGACGG
rnacentral:rRNA from 1 species